rnacentral:rRNA from 1 species
CCUACGGGAGGCAGCAGUGGGGAAUAUUGGACAAUGGGCGAAAGCCUGAUCCAGCCAUGCCGCGUGUGUGAAGAAGGCCUUCGGGUUGUAAAGCACUUUCAGUGGGGAAGAAAGCCUUGGGGCUAAUACCCUCGAGGAAGGACAUCACCCACAGAAGAAGCACCGGCUAACUCCGUGCCAGCAGCCGCGGUAAUACGGAGGGGUGCGAGCGUUAAUCGGAAUUACUGGGCGUAAAGCGCACGUAGGCGGUCUGAUAAGCCGGUUGUGAAAGCCCCGGGCUCAACCUGGGAACGGCAUCCGGAACUGUCAGGCUAGAGUGCAGGAGAGGAAGGUAGAAUUCCCGGUGUAGCGGUGAAAUGCGUAGAGAUCGGGAGGAAUACCAGUGGCGAAGGCGGCCUUCUGGACUGACACUGACGCUGAGGUGCGAAAGCGUGGGUAGCAAACAGGAUUAGAUACCCGAGUAGUC